CUUCAUUGAGAAGGGUGAGGU
rnacentral:misc_RNA from 1 species